GACGAACGCUGGCGGCGCGCUUAACACAUGCAAGUCGAGCGAGAACCAGGACUUCGGGGAUGAAGCUAGCGGCAGACGGGUGAGUAACACGUGGGCAACCUGCCUUAUAGAGGGGGAUAGCCUUCCGAAAGGAAGAUUAAUACCGCAUAAUAUCAGAUUAUCGCAUGGUAGACUGAUCAAAGGAGCAAUCCGCUAUAAGAUGGGCCCGCGUCGCAUUAGCUAGUUGGUGAGGUAACGGCUCACCAAGGCGACGAUGCGUAGCCGACCUGAGAGGGUGAUCGGCCACAUUGGGACUGAGACACGGCCCAGACUCCUACGUGAGGCAGCAGUGGGGAAUAUUGCACAAUGGGGGAAACCCUGAUGCAGCAACGCCGCGUGAGUGAUGAAGGCCUUCGGGUUGUAAAGCUCUUUGAUCAGGGACGAUAAUGACGGUACCUGAAGAACAAGCCACGGCUAACUACGUGCCAGCAGCCGCCGUAAAAC
rnacentral:rRNA from 1 species